GACGAACGCUGGCGGCGUGCCUAAUACAUGCAAGUUGAGCGCUGACGGUUGGUACUUGUACCAACUGGAUGAGCAGCGAACGGGUGAGUAACGCGUGGGGAAUCUGCCUUUGAGCGGGGGACAACAUUGGGAAACGAAUGCUAAUACCGCAUAAAAACUUUAAACACAAGUUUUAAGUUUGAAAGAUGCAAUUGCAUCACUCAAAGAUGAUCCCGCGUUGUAUUAGCUAGUUGGUGAGGUAAAGGCUCACCAAGGCGAUGAUACAUAGCCGACCUGAGAGGGUGAACGGCCACAUUGGGAACGAGACACGGCCCAAGCCCCCACGGGGGGGAGCCAGAGGGAAUCUUCGGAAAGGGAGGAAAGUCUGACCGCGCAACGCCGCGUGAGGGAAGAAGGGUUUCGGAUCGUAAAAGUCCGUUGGUAGGGAAGAACGUUGGUGAGGGUGGAAAGCUCAUCAAGUGACGGUAACUACCGAGAAAGGGACGGCUAACUACGUG
rnacentral:rRNA from 1 species